rnacentral:rRNA from 1 species
UACGGAGGGUGCGAGCGUUAUUCGGAAUUACUGGGCGUAAAGCGCGUGUAGGCGGCAGGGCAAGUCUGGUGUGAAAGCCCGGGGCUCAACCCCGGAAGUGCAUUGGAAACUGCUCUGCUUGAGUACCGGAGAGGAAGGGGGAAUUCCCGGUGUAGCGGUGAAAUGCGUAGAUAUCGGGAGGAAUACCAGUGGCGAAGGCGCCCUUCUGGACUGACACUGACACUGAGGUGCGAGAGCGUGGGGAGCAAACAGG